UUUUGUUUUAGCUUGUUUGUCAAAAUUCGCUGUUUAGACUAAGAGUAGAGCUGUGUUUGUGUAAACAGCGCAGUGGGCGAGAGUGGACAGCCCACACAGAUCAGAUUUAAACAUAUCGCUUCCUACAUGUGUAUGCAUGUAGACAGGUGAGUGGGUAUUAAUACACUACGUAUUUACUUUUAGGUUUUAUUGUAACCUACUUACAGUAACAAAUGUAGCGAUAUUUUUCCCAGUCAGGAAUGUGUGCUGCGUGUAGCGUCGUCGUGUGUGUGUGUGUGUG